GACGAACGCUGGCGGCGUGCCUAAUACAUGCAAGUCGAACGCAGUGGGGACGGGUGAGUAACACGUGGGUAACCUCCCAUCAGAGGGGAUAACCGUUGGAAACAGGUGCUAAACCGCUACUGAUGGAUGGACCCGCGGUGCAUUCGCUAGUUGGUGGGGUAACGGCUCACCAAGGCCACGAUGCAUAGCCGGCCUGAGAGGAGGAUCAGCCACACUGGGACUGAGACACGGCCCAGACUCCUACGGGAGGCAGCAGUGGGGAAUAUUGGACAAUGGGCGAAAGCCUGAUGCAGCCAUGCCGCGUGUAUGAAGAAGGUCUUCGGAUUGUAAAGCACUUUCAGUUGGGAGGCGUUACCAACAGAAUAAGCACCGGCUAACUCCGUGCCAGCAGCCGCGGUAAUAC
rnacentral:rRNA from 1 species